GACGAACGCUGGCGGCGUGCUUAACACAUGCAAGUCGAACGGAAAGGCCCUGCUUUUGUGGGGUGCUCGAGUGGCGAACGGGUGAGUAACACGUGAGUAACCUGCCCUUGACUUUGGGAUAACUUCAGGAAACUGGGGCUAAUACCGGAUAGGAGCUCCUGCUGCAUGGUGGGGGUUGGAAAGUUUCGGCGGUUGGGGGUGGACUCGCGGCUUAUCAGCUUGUUGGUGGGGUAGUGGCUUACCAAGGCUUUGACGGGUAGCCGGCCUGAGAGGGUGACCGGCCACAUUGGGACUGAGAUACGGCCCAGACUCCUACGGGAGGCAGCAGUGGGGAAUAUUGCACAAUGGGCGGAAGCCUGAUGCAGCAACGCCGCGUGCAGGAUGACGGCCUUCGGGUUGUAAACCGCUUUCGCCUGUGACGAAGCGUGAGUGACGGUAAUGGGUAAAGAAGCACCGGCUAACUACGUG
rnacentral:rRNA from 1 species